AAGAGGAUGAGAAGGAGGACAAGGAGGAGGAGGAGGACGAGGAGGAGGACGAGGACAACAAAAAAGAAGAGGAGGCGGAGACCAAGGAGGAAGGGAAGGAGGAGGCGAAAACCUCAGUUGCCCAGCAAGAGGGUGCUGCAUCCAAGUAGUAAGGGUCGAACACAAGAUUUGGCCUCAGCUUCCCGAUUCCCAAUGCGAUUCCCUGAAUCAAAGAGGCUAUGAGAAGAGACAGCAGGAAGUCAGCAUGUCACCCAGAACCCAAAACACCCAAGGGCCCACAAACAAAUUAAAAGAGCGUGUCCCUAAA